rnacentral:rRNA from 1 species
UACGGAGGGUGCGAGCGUUGUCCGGAAUCAUUGGGCGUAAAGCGCGCGUAGGCGGCCCGGUAAGUCCGCUGUAAAAGUCAAAGGCUCAACCUUUGAAUGUCAGUGGAUACUGCCGGGCUAGAGUCCGGAAGAGGCGAGUGGAACUCCUGGUGUAGCGGUGGAAUGCGCAGAUAUCAGGAAGAACACCGACGGCGAAGGCAGCUCGCUGGGACGGUACUGACGCUGAGGCGCGAAAGCGUGGGGAGCGAACAGG